GUGGGGAGUAUUGCACAAUGGGGGGAACCCUGAUGCAGCAACGCCGCGUGAGUGAAGAAGGCAUUCGUGUCGUAAAACUCUGUAGUAGGGGAAGAAAGAAAUGACAGUACCCUAAAAGAAAGCCCCGGCUAACUACGUGCCAGCAGCCGCGGUAAUACGUAGGGGGCAAGCGUUAUCCGGAAUAACUGGGCGUAAAGGGUGCGCAGGUGGUUUAACAAGUUAGUGGUGAAAGGCAUAGGCUCAACCAAUGUAAGCCAUUAAAACUGUUUAACUUGAGUGCAGGAGAGGAAAGUGGAAUUCCUAGUGUAGCGGUGAAAUGCGUAGAUAUUAGGAGGAAUACCAGUGGCGAAGGCGACUUUCUGGACUGCAACUGACACUGAGGCACGAAAGCGUGGGGAGCAAACAGGAUUAGAUACCCUGGUAGUCCACGCCGUAAACGAUGAGUACUAGGUGUCGGGGGAAGACCUCGGUGCCGAAGUUAACACAUUAAGUACUCCGCCUGGGGAGUACGCUCGCAAGAGUA
rnacentral:rRNA from 1 species